rnacentral:rRNA from 1 species
AUGACAGGUUCCGAAGAUAGAAGUUCUUGGACGACGGACACAUCUUUACCAUCACGAGAGUUGGGACAACACACACAAGCACAUGGUCAGGUUAUCUUUUUACCGUCAUUUGAGGGUAGAUUUAAUCCUACUACUUAUCUAGCUUGGGAGCUUGAAGUAGAACAAGUUUUUAGUCACCAUGACUUUUCUGAACUUGAGCGAGUGCAAGCAGCCACUAGAGCAUUUACUGAUUUUGCUUCUGUUUGGUGGAGUGUACAUUGUAAGAAAAACAUUGAUAACCAACCCACAACUUGGAAAGUUUUGAAAGCUGUAAUGAGACAACAAUUU